GAUGAACGCUGGCGGCGUGCUUAACACAUGCAAGUCGAACGGAAAGGCUCCUGCUUGCAGGGGUACUCGAGUGGCGAACGGGUGAGUAACACGUGGGUGAUCUGCCCUGCACUUCGGGAUAAGCCUGGGAAACUGGGUCUAAUACCGGAUAGGACGAUGGUUUGGAUGCCAUUGUGGAAAGUUUUUCGGUGUGGGAUGAGCUCGCGGCCUAUCAGCUUGUUGGUGGGGUAAUGGCCUACCAAGGCGUCGACGGGUAGCCGGCCUGGGAGGGUGUACGGCCACAUUGGGACUGAGGUACGGCCCAGACUCCUACGGGAGGCAGCAGUGGGGAAUAUUGCACAAUGGGCGCAAGCCUGAUGCAGCGACGCCGCGUGGGGGAUGACGGCCUUCGGGUUGUAAACUCCUUUCGCUAGGGACGAAGCGUUUUGUGACGGUACCUGGAGAAGAAGCACCGGCUAACUACGUG
rnacentral:rRNA from 1 species